rnacentral:rRNA from 1 species
CAGCCGCCGCGGGAAUACGGAGGGUGCAAGCGUUAAUCGGAAUUACUGGGCGUAAAGCGCACGCAGGCGGUCUGACAAGUCAGAUGUGAAAUCCCCGGGCUUAACCUGGGAACUGCAUUUGAAACUGUCAGGCUGGAGUCUUGUAGAGGGGGGUGGAAUUCCAGGUGUAGCGGUGAAAUGCGUAGAGAUCUGGAGGAAUACCGGUGGCGAAGGCGGCCCCCUGGACAAAGACUGACGCUCAGGUGCGAAAGCGUGGGGAGCAAACAGGAUUAGAGACCCCGGUAGCCCUGUCUCUUAUACA